CCUUCUCCACCAUCUCCUGAUCUUUUCUUUUCCUCUGCCUUCCUUUCUUCUUCCACAGCUUGCUUUUCUUUUUUCUUCCAUGGAUCUCGUUCCCCUUCUUCUUUCUCCUUUCGUCAUCCACAGCUUACUUCUCUUCUUCUACAGUCUCCUCUUCUCCAUCACCUCAGCUACUCCGCAACGUUGGCGAUCAACAUUUCUAUGUGUACACGAUCUUGUAUGCAAU
rnacentral:lncRNA from 1 species